rnacentral:rRNA from 1 species
GGGCUAAUGCUCCAUAGUGGAUAUGUCCUGGAAUGGUAUAUCCCUCGAAAGAUCCGUCGCCUUAGGAUGGGACUGCGUCCGAUUAGGUUGUUGGCGGGGUAACGGCCCACCAAGCCAUUGAUCGGUACGGGUUGUGGGAGCAAGAUCCCGGAGAUGGAUUCUGAGACAUGAAUCCAGGCCCUACGGGGCGCAGCAGGCGCGCAAACUUUACAAUGCGAGCAAUCGUGAUAAGGAAACCCUGAGUGCCUGUCGAUGCAGGCUGUUCAUAUAUCUAAAUCAUAUGUGAAGAAAGGGCAGGGCAAGACCGGUGCCAGCCGCCGCGGUAAUACCGGCUGCUCGAGUGAUGGCCACUAUUACUGGGUUUAAAGCGUCCGUAGCUUGAUUGUUAGGUCUCUUGGGAAAUCUUCACGCUCAACGUGAAGGCGUCUAAGAGAUACCGGCAGUCUUGGAACUGGGAGAGGUAAACCGUACUUCGGGGGUAGGAGUGAAAUCUUGUAAUCCUCGAGGGACGACCUAUGGCGAAGGCAGUUUACCAGAACAGCUUCGACAGUGAGGGACGAAAGCUGGGGGAGCAAACGGGAUUAGAUACCCCGGUAGUCCCAGCCGUAAACAAUGUGCGUUAGGUGUGUCGGUAACCACGUGUUACUGAUGCGCCGAAGAGAAAUCGUGAAACGCACCACCUGGGAAGUACGGUCGCAAGGCUGAAACUUAAAGGAAUUGGCGGGGGAGCACCACAACAGGUGGAGCCUGCGGUUUA